rnacentral:rRNA from 1 species
ACUUUACGUAAGUUAUGCGUUUUCUUGAAUUUUGGUAAAAAGUAGGUGGAUAUAUGCGUUGGGUUGGGGCGACAAAGAUAUAAUAGGUAACUGUCUACAAGAUAAAAUAAUUAUAAUUAGAUAAUGAUCCUUUAGUAGAGAUUAAGAGAUAAAGUUAC